CCUACGGGGGGCAGCAGUGGGGAAUAUUGCACAAUGGGGGGAACCCUGAUGCAGCAACGCCGCGUGAAGGAAGACGGUUUUCGGAUUGUAAACUUCUAUCAAUAGGGAAGAAGAAAGUGACGGUACCUUAGGAAUAAGCCUCGGCUAACUACGUGCCAGCAGCCGCGGUAAUACGUAGGAGGCAAGCGUUAUCCGGAAUGACUGGGCGGAAAGGGUGCGUAGGUGGUUUGACAAGUUAGUAGCGCAACUCCGGAGCUCAACUUCGGAACUACUACUGAAACUGUUGGACUUGAGUGCAGGAGGGGCAAUCGGAAUUCCUAGUGUAGCGGUGGAAUGCGUAGAUAUUAGGAGGAACACCAGUGGCGAAGGCGGAUUGCUAGACUGUAACUGACACUGAGGCACGAAAGCGUGGGGAGCAAACAGGAUUAGAUACCCUGGUAGUC
rnacentral:rRNA from 1 species